UAGGGAAUCUUCGGCAAUGGACGAAAGUCUGACCGAGCAACGCCGCGUGAGUGAAGAAGGUUCUCGGAUCGUAAAACUCUGUUGUUAGAGAAGAACAAGGACGUUAGUAACUGAACGUCCCCUGACGGUAUCUAACCAGAAAGCCACGGCUAACUACGUGCCAGCAGCCGCGGUAAUACGUAGGUGGCAAGCGUUGUCCGGAUUUAUUGGGCGUAAAGCGAGCGCAGGCGGUUUCUUAAGUCUGAUGUGAAAGCCCCCGGCUCAACCGGGGAGGGUCAUUGGAAACUGGGAGACUUGAGUGCAGAAGAGGAGAGUGGAAUUCCAUGUGUAGCGGUGAAAUGCGUAGAUAUAUGGAGGAACACCAGUGGCGAAGGCGGCUCUCUGGUCUGUAACUGACGCUGAGGAUCGAAAGCGUGGGGAGCAAACAGG
rnacentral:rRNA from 1 species